CACGUAGGGUGCGAGCGUUGUCCGGAAUUAUUGGGCGUAAAGAGCUCGUAGGCGGUGUGUCGCGUCGGCCGUGAAAACCUGCAGCUUAACUGUGGGCUUGCGGUCGAUACGGGCAUCACUGGAGUUCGGCAGGGGAGACUGGAAUUCCUGGUGUAGCGGUGAAAUGCGCAGAUAUCAGGAGGAACACCAAUGGCGAAGGCAGCACCUCGUGGGACGGUACUGACGCUGAGACGCGAAAGCGUGGGGAGCGAACAGG
rnacentral:rRNA from 1 species